GCAGUGAUGGCCGAGUGGGUUAAGGUCUCUGACUAGAAGUCAGAUGGGAUCCUCCCGCGUAGGUUCGAAUCCUACUCACUGGC